rnacentral:lncRNA from 10 species
GAGUCUAUAACAGGUCUUUGCAGCUUUCCAUAAGGCUGCAUAAUGAUACCUGACUGAUGGUAUAGAUUGAGAAAAAUCAGUGAAUAGCAUUGGGCAUCAAGCCACUGCUAUUCUUCGAUCAAGUUGUUAAGAAGUAGUACAGUAGUACAGUAGGUGUGAAUAUUAAAACGAAGGGCAAGAGAAGCUCAGAAACCCCACCCCAAUCCAAUGUUAGGUGGCCUGUCUGGCAGGACUCAUUAAUUCUUCUUCUUCUUAUUAUUAUUAUUAUUAGAGACAGAGUCUUUCUCUGUUGCCCAGGCCAGAGUGCAGUGGUGCAAUCUCGGCUUACUGCAACCUCUGCCUCCCGGGUUCAAGCGAUUCUCAUGCCCCAGCCUCCCAAGUAGCUGGAAUUACAGAUGUGUCCCACCAUGCCUGGCUAAUUUUUCUAUUUUUAGUAAAAACAGGUUUUCGCCAUAUUGGCCAGGCUGGUCUCGAACUCCUGACCUCAUGUAAUCUUCCCGCUUCAGCCUCCCAAAAUGUUGGGAUUACAGGAGUGAGGCACCAUGCCCUGCCAGGAUUCUCUGGAUAAAUUAUCAGAUAUAAAUUCUUAUAUUGUGAUACUGGAGUAAGCACAACAGCCUGAGUGAGAGUACAAACCCAAAUCCAGAGGCAUCCAGAGGAGAUCAUUCAAACUGUCAUUGUAUCUCACAUGCAGAGAAAACAACUAAAUUACCCGCCACGUCAAUCAUCCUAUAGCCUCCUAAGUUCUUCAGAGAUGUUUGAAUCAGUUUGUAAGCCAAUAGAAUGCAUGGAUACAAUAAAUCCUGUCCAAUAGAAACUGAUAAAAUUAUGCCUAAGUUAUCCCAUCCACCAAGUCAGGGCUUGAGGUAGAUCUGAAGUAGUUCACGAGUAGAUAAGAGUGCAUGGAAAAAACAAAUUACACAUCAAAAUCAUGCGGAAUCCCAAUUAUAAUUGUUUUCCUUUUAACCACUGACACAAGUACCCUGAAAUUGGCUCAGGAGUGUAGAUAUAUCAAGGUAUUCCCCAGUGGCAGCCCAACAGCAUAGGCAGUCUGACAAAGAAAACUGGACUCCCAGAAAGAACAUCAACAGAAAAGUAGGACCAAGACACAACCCCAUGAAGGUCACAUUGCCAAUUUUAGAUGCAGGACCUGUGCCUCAAUUUAAGAGGCAAAAAGAGCCCCCGUGGCUUCUACUUCAUCUCCCUAUCAUGGUGGCCUUUUGCUCCAAUGGUCAGCAAGUCAAGGUGAAUUUUCACAAAUGCUUAACAUGUAAUAUGCUCACAUGUUCGUUUCUAUUAUGUUUUAGAUUAUAUUAAUGAACAAUGGAUGACAAAAAUGUGGAAAAUAUUUGGAGGAAUCUCAAACUCCCUCCAUGUAAGUUUUUCUAAAUGUGUGUUGAGUCUUGUACUCCUUGACAGCCAGAUAUAUGUGAAAAGAACUUCAACCUGACCGGGCACAUUGGCUCACACCUGUAAUCCCAGCACUUUGGGAGGCCAAGGUGGGCGGAUCACUUGAGGUCAGGAGUUCGAGACCAGCCUGGCCAACAUAUAGUGAAACCCCAUCUUUACUAAAAAAUACAAAAAUUAGCCGGGCGUGGUGGCACGCACCUGUAGUCCCAGCUACUUGGGAAGCUGAGGCAGGAGAGUCGCUUGAACCUGGGAGGUGGAGGUUGCAGUGAGCCGAGAUCGCGCCAGUGUACUCCAACCUGGGCAACAGAGCAAGAUUCCGUCUCUCUCUCUCUCUCUCUCAAAAAAAGAAAAAGUUCACAAAUACAAACAAUUGCAUAUAUUGUGUAAAACUGUAGAUGAAAAACCCAAGAUCUAAAGAUUGUAUACUUAAUCAAUUCCUAUAUCCCUCGGUAUCAUAAAUUCCAAGAAUUGUGUGUAACAUCCUCUUCCCCACCCCGCACCCCCAACACAAAAAAUAAGACUGACAAUGUGUCCACCUCGUUUAAUAAACUUCCUUCAGGUUGUGUGCAUAAUGUCCAAAUUCUUUGCAUGGGUUAAAUACUACAUGGCAACUUCCCAAUUUUUACAUUUCAUGCUGCUGCAAACUUUCACCACAAAGAAAUUUAAAACUUUCUCAUUGCUGAUUAAAAAAUUUAAAGCCCUCAAUUUAAAGCAAAGCAGCCAAUAUAAAUUUCUUCACAUAGGAACUGAGAUCCUCAAAGACUUUUAUUCACAGGUUAAGAAAUGUAUCAUAUCUGAACAAUUUAUAUUUUGAAUUUUAUAUCCCCUC